rnacentral:lncRNA from 1 species
AUGGCGGCGGCGCGCCCUGGGGGCUGGUGGGCAGCGGGGCUGUCCCCUCACCUCAGCACGGAUGUGGGACCCGUGCCAUCAUCCAGGUGGUGCGCAGAGCGCGGUUCACAGAGCCCUGACCGCCGCUGGACUCAGCCGUGCCCGCUCCCCGGCUCCUGCCCAGCCGCAGAGCUCGCUCCCCCAGCACGGGGCUGCAGCUGUGGGGUGGGGGCUCCAGCAGGAGUGGGGGCUCCUUGGGCUCCAACCAGCGGCUUCCACCAAGGGGUGGUGCUGGGGGGCUCAGCGGGGGCAGGUGGGUCCCGGCAUUGCCCGCUGCCCGCCCUGCCACUGCCCCUCCCUGCCCACUGCUGGCCCCGCAGCCCCAGCAGACAGCUCAACUUUGGGGAGAAGAAAAUUCCUCGUUUCCAUGGGAACCGGAGGAGGAAAGUUUCUGGGGCUGGGGCUGGGACGGAGCCAGCUGGGACGAGAGCAGCAGGGCCAGCGGCACCCCAGGGCUGGCCGCGCUCUCCCUGCUCCCCUCCUCUCCCAGGGCCGGCGGGCGCCCGGCCCCGCUGCCAGCGCCUUGCGAGGCACAGCCUCGGCGAGCGGCUCCGGGGGCUCCUCGCUCCCCCCGCGCUGUGUCGGGCGCGAGCUGACAUUUCGCUCUGCAGCUCAGCGCGUGGCGAUGCAGAGAUAGCUCUAAUCUGCUUGUCUCCUCCUCGCCCUCUUCCCAGAGGCAGGAGCUGUGGCCGGGGAGAGCAGUGGGGCUCUGGCUGCUCCCGCUGGGCUGGGCUGGGGGACGGAGGGGACGGAGGGGACGGAGGGGACGGAGCUGUCCCAGUGCCUUCCCCGCCGCUCCUUCCAGUUGGGCUGCAUCUGCCUGGCAGGGCCGGAAUGCCGGCAGCAGAAACCGAGGGCGGCUUCAGAGCACCCGGGCUUCUCCUUCCUCCUCCUCCCACUGCUCCCCGCUCUGCCUGCACCCAGGCCGGCAGCAGCCCCCAGCAAAGGGCUGGCUGGGCCCCAAGGCCUGCGCGUCUCCUUGGGGUGCCCGAAGGGGCUGCAAGGGCAGCGCAGGCAGCGCCCCAGGCCUGGCGAACAGCCCCAAAGCUCUGGCAACCCAACCAGCCAUGGAAAACCCCCAGCUCCAGCCCCAUAAAUUGGGACCCUACCACCCACCCCAAGGCACCCCUGGUCCCUGGCUGCCCCGUGGGCUGUCAGAGCCCCGCCAGGCACCGGGACACCCUGUGCAGCCCUGGUUCCCAGUGGCUCAGCCCCAAUUAG